rnacentral:misc_RNA from 1 species
UAAGUUAUUGCCAGGGUUUUUAUUUUGUACUUUAAACCUUAAAUUUAUUUUUUAUAUUUUUUUAAUGUUCAUGUUUUUGAAUGUUUUAUUCAAAUAAUGUAAAAAAUAAAAUAGAUAUUGACAUGGAUUGAACAAAAGAUAUAUAUUAUUUUAUGUUGCAUAAACAAAUUGGCAAAAUAGAGAUGGAAGAUAAAAAUAUGGUCAAAGUAAUAAGAGUC